AACAGCUCAAAUUUGAAAUCUGGCCUCGGCCCGAGUUGUAAUUUGCAGAGGAUGCUUUUGGUGCGGUGCCUUCCGAGUUCCCUGGAACGGGACGCCACAGAGGGUGAGAGCCCCGUAUGGUCGGACACCAAUCCUGUGUAAAGCUCCUUCGACGAGUCGAGUAGUUUGGGAAUGCUGCUCUAAAUGGGAGGUAAAUCUCUUCUAAAGCUAAAUACCGGCCAGAGACCGAUAGCGCACAAGUAGAGUGAUCGAAAGAUGAAAAGCACCUUGAAAAGGGGGUUAAACAGUACGUGAAAUUGUUGAAAGGGAAGCACUUGUGACCAGACUUGGGCCGGGCGGCUCAUCAGGGGUUCUCCCCUGUGCAUUCCGCCCGGUACAGGCCAGCAUCGGUUCUUACCGGGGGAUAAGAACGGCAGGAACGUGGCUCCCUCUCGGGGGAGUGUUAUAGCCUGCCGUACGAUACCCUGGCGGGGACCGAGGUUCGCGCUUCCGCAAGGAUGCUGGCGUAAUGGUUACUAGUGACCCGUCUUGAAACACGGACCAAGGAGUCGUCCAUUAGAGCGAGCGUUUGGGUGUAAAACCCGCACGCGUAAUGAAAGUGAAAUUAGGUGAGAGCUUCGGCGCAUCAUCGACCGAUCCUGAUGUUCUCGGAUGGAUUUGAGUAAGAGUUUUAACGGACGGACCCGAAAGACAGUGAACUAUGCUUGUAUAGGGUGAAGCCAG
rnacentral:rRNA from 1 species